rnacentral:rRNA from 1 species
UGGGGAAUAUUGGACAAUGGGCGCAAGCCUGAUCCAGCCAUGCCGCGUGUGUGAAGAAGGCCUUUUGGUUGUAAAGCACUUUAAGCGAGGAGGAGGCUACUUGGAUUAAUACUCUAGGAUAGUGGACGCUACUCGCAGAAUAAGCACCGGCUAACUCUGUGCCAGCAGCCGCGGUAAUACAGAGGGUGCGAGCGUUAAUCGGAUUUACUGGGCGUAAAGCGUGCGUAGGCGGCUUCUUAAGUCGGAUGUGAAAUCCCUGUGCUUAACUUAGGAAAUGCAUUCGAUACUGGGAAGCUAGAGUAUGGGAGAGGCUGGUGGAAUUCCAGGUGUAGCGGUGAAAUGCGUGGAGAUCUGGAGGAAUACCGAUGGCGAAGGCAGCUAACUGGCUCAAUACUGACGCUGAGGUACGAAAGCAUGGGGAGCAAACAGG